rnacentral:rRNA from 1 species
AUGACUCAUCUUCUGCAACUGAAACAACAGGGCACAGUGACUGAAUACAAGUCUGCAUUUGAGACUGCAAUGUACCAUUUGAUAGCAUUAGAUCCUUCCUUGAACUCAAAGUUUUUCAUAUCUCAGUUUGUGUUGGGAUUGAAGGAUGAAAUCCGUGCUGCAGUCAGGUUACAGGCACCCACUAGUGUCACAAGGGCAGUAUGCUUAGCUAAGAUCCAAGAGGAAGAAUUGGAGUUACAAAAGACUAAACCACGGUUUCCACGUCACAUGCAACACCAGUCAGUUCCGACUACAAUUCAGCCUAUGCAACAAGGCAACAAGAAAGCAGUGGAUGAUUUUGGUAGGGAGCGUCAGCUGAGAGACUUUAGGCGUGCUAAUGGAUUAUGCUAUCGAUGUGGAGAUAAGUAUAGUAAGGAACAUCAGUGCAAGAAGCCAUUGAAACUGCUGACUAUCCAGUUGGGAGAGCAUGGUGAAAUUUUAACUGGAGAUGCAGUGCAAGCUUUGGAAUUACUAACUGAACCCACCACAGCUGAGUGCUGUCAGAUUUCAGCCCAUGCUGUUUCAGGAGCCGACAAUACAGAAACCAUUCGCAUAAGAGCAUUGGUGGGCAACCAAGUCAUGUUAGCACUAGUGGACUCGGGCAGUAGUCACAGUUUCGUGGAUGAAAAUUUUGCCAAGCGUGCUUCGUUGGAUUUGGUCUCUGUUCCAGCAGUGAAAGUUACAGUUGCAAAUGGUCAAUCUAUGGAAUCCAAAUUUCAAACCCCUAAUCUGACUUGGUGGGCGCAGGGUCACACUUUUGUGACACCAAUGAGAGUGCUACAACUGGGGGCCUAUGAUGUAGUGCUGGGAAUGGACUGGCUUAAGUGUCACAGUCCGAUGGUUUGCGAUUGGGAGGGCAAAUCAUUACAAUUUGUACAUGGUGAUACUACCAUAUCCCUUCAAGGUGUUCAGCCUGUGUCUACUAUGCAAUUGCAAGCUAUGUCAGUAGAGCAAUUGGACAAAGCUCUGCAUGGCAAUGAUAUUUGGGCUAUGGCCGUGGUUGAUCCUUCUUCAAGUGAUGUUGUUUCGACGCUUGGCUCAUAUCUGGAAGAUCUUAUUGCAGUUUUAACAGACUUCCAGGAUGUGUUUGAAACUUCAACUGGCCUGCCCCCACAUAGAGUGUAUGAUCAUGCAAUCACCUUGGAAGUGGGUCAUAACCCUCCUAACUCUCGCCCUUAG